CAAUGAGCGCGAUAAGGGCAUUCGGUGGAUGCCUUGGCACCAGGAGGCGAUGAAAGACGUGGCACGCUGCGAAAAGCCAUGGGGAGCCGCGAGCAGGCUUUGAUCCGUGGAUAUCUGAAUGGGGCAACCCACCCAGCGAUGGGUAUCAUGUUCUGAAUACAUAGGGACAUGAGGCGAACCCGGGGAACUGAAACAUCUAAGUACCCGGAGGAAAAGACAUCAAUUGAGAUUCUGCUAGUAGUGGCGAGCGAACGCGGAACAGGCCAGUGGCUGUUUUUGAAGAAGCAGAACGGAAUGGAAAGUCCGGCCAGAGCGGGUGAUAGCCCCGUAUGCGUAGUGUCAGGAACAGUCCUUGAGUAGGGCGGGACACGUGAAAUCCUGUCUGAACAUGGGGGGACCACCCUCCAAGCCUAAAUACUCCCUGGUGACCGAUAGUGAACAAGUACCGUGAGGGAAAGGUGAAAAGCACCCCGACGAGGGGAGUGAAAGAGACCUGAAACCGAAUGCCUACAAGCAGUCGGAGCCUCUUAUGGGGUGACGGCGUACCUUUUGUAUAAUGGGUCAGCGAGUUUCUGUUUGCAGCAAGCUUAAGCCGUUAGGUGUAGGCGCAGCGAAAGCGAGUCUGAAUAGGGCGACGAGUUGCUGGCAGAAGACCCGAAACCGAGUGAUCUAGCCAUGGCCAGGCUGAAGGUGCGGUAACACGCACUGGAGGGCCGAACCCACGCCUGUUGAAAAAGUCGGGGAUGAGCUGUGGCUAGGGGUGAAAGGCCAAUCAAACUCGGAAAUAGCUGGUUCUCCGCGAAAUCUAUUGAGGUAGACCGUCGAGUAUUACCCCGGGGGGUAGAGCACUGGAUGGGCUAGGGGGGCCCAAAGCCUUACCAAACCUAACCAAACUCCGAAUACCCGGAAGUAUGAGCUCGGCAGACAGACAGUGGGUGCUAAGGUCCAUUGUCGAGAGGGAAACAGCCCAGACCACCAGCUAAGGCCCCCAAAUCGUGGCUAAGUGGGAAAGGAUGUGAGGAUUCCAAAACAACCAGGAGGUUGGCUUAGAAGCAGCCAUCCUUUAAAGAAAGCGUAAUAGCUCACUGGUCUAAUAGAAACCUUGCGCCGAAAAUGUAACGGGGCUCAAGCCACGUGCCGAAGCUGUGGGUGCAUUCUAUGAAUGCGCGGUAGCGGAGCGUUCCGUAGGUCUGUGAAGGAGACGGGGUGACCCUCUCUGGAGAUAUCGGAAGUGCGAAUGCUGACAUGAGUAGCGACAAACAGUGCGAGAAACACUGUCGCCGAAAGUCCAAGGGUUCCUGCGCAAGGUUAAUCCGCGCAGGGUGAGCCGGCCCCUAAGGCGAGGGCGAAAGCCGUAGUCGAUGGAAACCGGGCAAAUAUUCCCGGGCCUGCCAGAAGUGACGAAUACAAUAUGUUGUCGGGUCUUAUCGGAUUGAUCCGGCUUUUGGAGUAUUCCAGGAAAUAGCUCUGGCAUAUAGACCGUACCCGAAACCGACACAGGUGGACUGGUAGAGAAUACCAAGGCGCUUGAGAGAACGAUGCUGAAGGAACUAGGCAAAUUACUUGCGUAACUUCGGGAUAAGCAAGACCCGUCAGUGGGCAACCAUCGGCGGGUGGCACAGACCAGGGGGUAGCGACUGUUUAGUAAAAACACAGGGCUGUGCGAAGUCGAGAGACGACGUAUACGGCCUGACGCCUGCCCGGUGCCGGAAGGUUAAGAGGAGGUGUGCAAGCACCGAAUUGAAGCCCCGGUAAACGGCGGCCGUAACUAUAACGGUCCUAAGGUAGCGAAAUUCCUUGUCGGGUAAGUUCCGACCUGCACGAAUGGCGUAACGACUUCCCCGCUGUCUCCAGCAUCGGCUCAGCGAAAUUGAAUUCCCCGUGAAGAUGCGGGGUACCCGCGGUCAGACGGAAAGACCCUAUGAACCUUUACUGCAGCUUUGCAGUGGCAUCAGAGACAUUCUGUGUAGGAUAGGUGGGAGGCUUUGAAACCGGGGCGCCAGUUCCGGUGGAGCCAUCCUUGAAAUACCACCCUGACUGUUUCUGAUGUCUAACCGAGGCCUGUUAGCCAGGUCCGGGACCCUGCAUGGUGGGCAGUUUGACUGGGGCGGUCGCCUCCCAAAGUGUAACGGAGGCGCGCGAUGGUGGGCUCAGGCCGGUCGGAAACCGGCUGUCGAGUGCAAUGGCAUAAGCCCGCCUGACUGUGAGAGUGACAGCUCGAUCAGAGACGAAAGUCGGCCAUAGUGAUCCGGUGGUCCCGCGUGGAAGGGCCAUCGCUCAACGGAUAAAAGGUACUCUAGCAGCCUGUCGGGUUGGGCAUUUUGCGGCUGAUAACGCCGAGGCUGACCCGGCUUAUGCUGCCUGAAGCCGUGCCAUUCUUUUGCAGUUGUAUGCGAGAGCGACGAGGGUCCAUUCAGUCGUGACUUUUGCAAGGCCACGCAGACUGAAUCUUCUGAAGCCCAUGAUGCUUUUGAUAAUUCCAAAGACCGGUUCAACGGUCUGUUUUCGUAGUCUGUAAAUAUUUCCGGCUUUUGUGGUUUCCAGUUUUUUCUUCAUGGCAAGCCGCCAGGGUUCGGUGAUCCGGCGUGGUUCCCUGUUUUCAGGAGGUGGUCGGAAGUCAUAAGGCCUGCGGGCACAGGGCCGUCCGAUGGCGACCAGCGGAUCAAUGCCUUUUUUCCGCAGGUCCCGGACCGCCUGCCCGCUGGCGUAACCGGUGUCGGCAAGCACUGUCUUUGGGAGACCGAUCGUGUUUUCCAUCGACAGCACGGUGCUGGCAAAGGAUGGCGCGUCCGCUGACGUGGCGACAACGUCGGUUGUCACGAUCAACUGACUGCCUUCGGCGCAGACCACGGCCUGGGCAUUGUAAGCCUGCCGGAACUCGUGGGCGUCCGAACGCCGCAUGAGGCGGCUGUCGGGAUCGGUCAGACUGAUCUGCCGGUCGGGUGGUGGUUCAUCAUCCGGCGGUUUCGGCGCCCGACCGCGACGCCCUGUUUUUGCGUCAUACAUCGCCUUCUUUUUCUCGUAUGCCGGUCGCGCCGCCUCGGCCUGCGCUUUCGCAUCUGCUUCCAGCCGGGCGCAGGCUUCGUCCAGCUUCGCUUUCAGUGUUUCCCGUCGGGCAAGCUCUUCUGGCAGGGCCUGCGGAUCUCUGUCUGUGGCAUCUGCGUGCUCCGCCUGGUCCAUCAGUUUCGCGAUAUCCACCGCCAGCUGUUCGCGCAGUGCCCUGAUCCGGUCGUAGCGCAGGGAACGGUAUUUCGAAGCGUCGGCAUCAAUUUUCGUGCCGUCAAUCGAUACGACACCCAGACGCAGCAGACCCGUCUCGCGCGCCAGAAGCAGGACCUGCGCAAAUGCAGCUUCAAUGGCUGUCCGGUUCGUCCGGCGGAAGGUCGCAAUCGUAUCAUGAUCCGGAUGCAGGUUCGCCGCCACGAAGCGUACCCCGAUGUCGCGAUAUGUCGCCCGCUCGAUCCGGCGUGAGGAAAACAACCCGUUCGCAUAGCUGAAGAUCAGAAGGGCCAGCAUCAGGCGCGGAUGAUACUGCGCCUUGCCUCCCGUGCGCACUGGCACGCAGAACGCACUCAUCGGAACCCGCUCAACAGCUGCGACAAUGAAAUGCGCCAUAUCGUCAGCCGGAAGCCACGACGUCAGAUCAGGCGGCAGAAGAUACGGCUGGGAUCGGUCAAACGGGAUGAAGCGGCUCAUCGCGACACUCUACAGCCUUACCCCUUCACAGGGUACCCCAACCCGACAGGCUGCUAGGGAUAACAGGCUGAUCUCCCCCAAGAGUCCACAUCGACGGGGAGGUUUGGCACCUCGAUGUCGGCUCAUCACAUCCUGGGGCUGGAGCAGGUCCCAAGGGUUCGGCUGUUCGCCGAUUAAAGUGGUACGUGAGCUGGGUUUAGAACGUCGUGAGACAGUUCGGUCCCUAUCUGCCGUGGGUGUUGGAGACUUGAGAGGAUUUGUCCCUAGUACGAGAGGACCGGGAUGAACAUACCUCUGGUGCACCGGUUGUCGCGCCAGCGGCACAGCCGGGUAGCUAAGUGUGGACGGGAUAACCGCUGAAAGCAUCUAAGCGGGAAACCCACCUCAAAACAAGGUCUCCCCAAGGGCCGUGAUAGACCAUCACGUCAAUAGGCCAGGUGUGGAAGCGCAGUAAUGCGUGCAGCUGACUGGUCCUAAUCGCCCAAUAGGCUCAUUCCA
rfam:Komagataeibacter nataicola strain RZS01, complete genome.